GACAUUGCUCUAUCUACAUGAAGCCACAGCGACAAACACGUAGGAUCUGAACAUGAGGAGACAGGAUGUUCUUAAAAUCGCUGGAGCAGAGUGUCGAGACAACCCAAUGAAUCCAGAAAAAGGAGAAUGCUUUUGAGGGCAAGACCAGCUGGCACAGAUGACCAAGAGGCUUGGCUUUGAGCUGUGUGUUCCUCUUAUUGUCAACACUGAAGCCAUUAACGCCUACAGUGAUCUCAGAUGGCAACAGGAAACACCAAAGGGACACCGGCCAGCUAUCAAAGAUAAACUGAAAAAGAGGAAGAAUUACAUGUUAGAUUAGUCCCUAUGGGGUCAGUUAAAGUCAGUGCUGAGAUGGUUUGCCUGCUAAAAAAUAACAGAGGAAUCUAUCUUUAUGUGUAUUCAUCAGGGUGAAGUCCCCAGGCAUUUUCCCUCAUUGAUAAGAAAUGAUCUUAUUCCCAGAGCAUAACAUCACUAAAGCCCUCUUUAAGGACCCAUCUGCGAGAGGAGCACUCUGGGUAGGAAUGACACCAGCACUGAAAAACUAGUUAAAACCAUUGGUGGGGAUACUAGAAUUUGAGUAGAAGAUUCAGUCAGGGGAUCCGGGCAUGCAUCUUGGGACCUGUGGGUUAACUGACCCCUUACAUCUCAGCAGAGCCGUGGUUCUUAAUGGGGACGAUUUUGCCCUUGAUGGGAAACCUACUAAUGUCUGGAGAUGUUUUUGGCUGUCAUAUCUGGAGGCACUGAUGAUUCUGGCAUCUAGUGAGCAGAGGCCAGAGACGCUGCUAAAUAUCCUGCAAUGCACAGGGCAGGUCCUGUGACAACAAUCUGCCGAAAAUGUCAAUAGUGCCAAGACUGAGCAACCCUGCAUUACACGAAGACAGAAAAAAGGGGGCCAUUCAUGGACAGACUGUGUCACGGGCUGUCACUAAGAGAUGUUGUGCAGUCUAGUUUGUGGAUGUCAUUUAUGUCGUUUGUCCCAAGUGCACAGCUGGGCCUAUCAUGA